ensembl:Mt_tRNA
GUAAGUUUAGUUUAAAGUAAAAUUUUAGAUCGUGACUCUAAAGAUAGGGGUUAAAGCCCCCUCACUCACC